rnacentral:sRNA from 1 species
AUGGCUGUCGUCAGCUCGUGUCGUGAGAUGUUGGGUUAAGUCCCGCAACGAGCGCAACCCUCGUUCUAUGUUGCCAGCGGGUAAUGCCGGGGACUCAUAGGAGACUGCCGGGGUCAACUCGGAGGAAGGUGGGGAUGACGUCAAAUCAUCAUGCCCCUUAUGUCUUGGGCUGCACACAUGCUACAAUGGCCGGUACAAAGGGCUGCUAAGCCGCAAGGUGGAGCGAAUCCCAAAAAGCCGGUCUCAGUUCGGAUCGCAGUCUGCAACUCGACUGCGUGAAGUCGGAGUCGCUAGUAAUCCCGGAUCAGCAACGCCGGGGUGAAUACGUUCCCGGGCCUUGUACACACCGCCCGUCACACCACGAAAGUCGGCAACACCCGAAGCCGGUGGCCCAACCCGUAAGGGAGGGAGCCGUCGAAGGUGGGGUCGGUGAUUGGGGUGAAGUCGUAACAAGGUAGCCGUACCGGAAGGUGCGGCUGGAUCACCUCCUUUCUAAGGAGUUCCUACUCAGGCCUCAUUUGAGAGUCUGAGAACUCCCAGUUGAUCACUAGCUAUUCGGCUCCUCGAGCUCCGGUCCCGGUGGUAGAUGUAUUUCUCCCGGUGCUGGACCUUGUCGAGUCGGGCCCCUCUGUUCCGUUUUCUGGGAGCGCCGUGGCGCGCCCGGACCGGUACCCGCCGGCUACGUCGCCGCCUCUGGCGCUGACCUCUUCCCGUGUCGACCAGCAAGCCACCUAUGUGGCCGCUGUCGUCGGGCCCCUUGAGAACUCCAUAGCGAGCACGAGCAUCUUUGUUCUCCAAGCUACAAAGAGCCAACGGUGGAUGCCUUGGCGCCUGAAGCCGAUGAAGGACGUGGGUGGCUGCGAAAAGCCACGGGGAGCUGCCGACCAAGCUUCGAUCCGUGGAUAUCCGAAUGGGGAAACCCGG